UGUUGUUGCUCAGUUGGUAGAGCGGAGGAUCGUAGAAUCGCGGCAAUCUUCAGAUCGCUGGUUCGAAUCCGGCUCGACGG